rnacentral:lncRNA from 1 species
GAUGUAUUAAAUACUGUACUGAAAGUGAAGAACAUAAUGGCUCCCGCUGCUGCCUGGCAUCGACGUAUCACACGCAUAUUGCCAGCCUGGCAAAAGAUCGAACUUCAAAAUUUCAAGUACAGUUUCCACUGAAUGUGUAUUGCUUUCACAGAGUCAGAAAAUCGUAAGCUGAACCAUCCUAAGUCAGAGACCAUCUGUAAUUAAAAUGGUCACACAGACUCCAAGCAUUGUAUAAUAUCUUGGUCCUGAUUUAAACAGACGGCUGAACCGUCCAAUAACACCAGUGCAAACGUUCUCAUAUUUUUGUACUAAUUGCACAGUUCUUUCGUCACCUUGAUCUAUAGCUCUCUGCACUUAAUGGUAUACAUUUGUUGAAUGAUGGAAUCACGAUCAGUCUAUGAUGAAUCAAAUCUAAAUCUUCUUCAGGCCAAUUCUCCUUCACAGGUAGAACAUUCUAAAGGAGUUUUGAUUCACUCUCCCAAUACAUUUGAUCAUAAGUAUCAGCAUUGUCAUAAAUUCUAUUAGCUUCUACAGUAUUGAAUUUGCCUCUGAAUCCUGGAGCACACCACCAGCAGCACCAUGUGCAACUGUAGGUCUGUGGUUACAGCAUAAAUGAGACAUAAUUAUAGUGCAAUUAUUUUGUCCCUUUCAACAAAAUCUACCUUUCCCAUAAGCCAUAUAUUCUCUGUCAUCCGAGUCUAAGUUAGAGACCAUGACUCUAUUAUUCCAGGACUCAAAACCUCUUGAGGACACAGCCAAAUUCCUUUCCAGCUUACAUAAUUUGACAGGUGCUGACUCCCAACGAGAGGGAUCCCGCAAGAGGACUCAUCCAUCCAUCCCUUGGGAUAGGGGCGCUGUGUCUGGGAAAAGCCAGAGCCCAUCAGCAUUGAUCAGCGAGAUGCAAGAGUCAGAGGGUCACUCCAGUGGAAUGGACCCAGUCGACUGGUGCAGCAAUAGCAGCAGCUGCUGCAAAAUGCUUCUGAUUUACUGGGAAACUGCACUCCAAGGAGCCAUAUUAAUGCCAGCGAUAAACCUGGUCCCCCAGGAGCACCUGCAUUUUAAGGGAGGAGUGUUGCACAUAUAUGAGCUCCAACCAGUUAUCAGCCUCCUCCAACCCUGCUGCAUCUUGGGCUGCAUUUUCAAACACCUGCCAGUCUCCAGGCCAGCCUGGGAAGGAGCAAGAUACACAGAGCCACAGAAGGUGAAGGAUCGCUCCACAUUUGGCCAGGGGCUAAAUUGUCCCCACCUCCCAACAGAAGUGUAUUGGAUUGAACAGUGUACCCCCAAAUUCAUGUCAACCCAGAACCUCAGAAUGUGA